GACGAACGCUGGCGGCGCGCCUAACACAUGCAAGUCGAACGAGCAAAGAGGAGCUUGCUUCUCUGAGCGAGUGGCGAACGGGUGAGUAACGCGUGAGGAACCUGCCUCAAAGAGGGGGACAACAGUUGGAAACGACUGCUAAUACCGCAUAAGCCCACGGGUCGGCAUCGACCAGAGGGAAAAGGAGUGAUCCGCUUUGAGAUGGCCUCGCGUCCGAUUAGCUGGUUGGUGAGGUAAUGGCCCACCAAGGCGACGAUCGGUAGCCGGACUGAGAGGUUGAACGGCCACAUUGGGACUGAGACACGGCCCAGACUCCUACGGGAGGCAGCAGUGGGGAAUAUUGCACAAUGGGGGGAAACCCUGAUGCAGCGACGCCGCGUGGAGGAAGAAGGUUUUCGGAUUGUAAACUCCUGUUGUUGAGGAAGAUAAUGACGGUACUCAACAAGGAAGUGACGGCUAACUACGUG
rnacentral:rRNA from 1 species